UGAACUUGGCGCUUAGGAGCGAGAGCUCUC
rnacentral:sRNA from 1 species